CCAAUAGCGUAUAUUAAAGUUGUUGCAGUUAAAAAGCUCGUAGUUGAAUUUCGGGGUUAGUAGGCUGGUCAUGCCACCGGUAUGUACUGGUCUUUCUGAUUCCUCCUUCCUGAUGAACUGUAAUGCCAUUAAUUUGGUGUUGCAGGGAAUCUGGACUGUUACUUUGAAAAAAUUAGAGUGUUUAAAGCAGGCUAACGCUUGAAUACAUUAGCAUGGAAUAAUGAAAUAGGACGCUCGAUCCUAUUUUGUUGGUUUCUAGGAUUGACGUAAUGAUUAAUAGGGAUAGUUGGGGGCAUUAGUAUUCAAUUGUCAGAGGUGAAAUUCUUGGAUUUAUUGAAGACUAACUACUGCGAAAGCAUUUGCCAAGGAUGUUUUCAUUAAUCAAGAACGAAAGUUAGGGGAUCGAAGACGAUCAGAUACCGUCGUAGUCUUAACCAUAAACUAUGCCGACUAGGGAUCGGAUGAUGUUAAUUUUUUAAUGACUCAUUCGGCGCCUUAC
rnacentral:rRNA from 1 species